UGCAGUCGAGCGGCAGCGGAAGUAGCUUGCUACUUUGCCGGCGAGCGGCGGACGGGUGAGUAAUGUCUGGGAAACUGCCUGAUGGAGGGGGAUAACUACUGGAAACGGUAGCUAAUACCGCAUAACGUCGCAAGACCAAAGAGGGGGACCUUCGGGCCUCUUGCCAUCAGAUGUGCCCAGAUGGGAUUAGCUAGUAGGUGGGGUAACGGCUCACCUAGGCGACGAUCCCUAGCUGGUCUGAGAGGAUGACCAGCCACACUGGAACUGAGACACGGUCCAGACUCCUACGGGAGGCAGCAGUGGGGAAUAUUGCACAAUGGGCGCAAGCCUGAUGCAGCCAUGCCGCGUGUAUGAAGAAGGCCUUCGGGUUGUAAAGUACUUUCAGCGGGGAGGAAGGUGUUGAGGUUAAUAACCUCAGCGAUUGACGUUACCCGCAGAAGAAGCACCGGCUAACUCCGUGCCAGCAGCCGCGGUAAUACGGAGGGUGCAAGCGUUAAUCGGAAUUACUGGGCGUAAAGCGCACGCAGGCGGUCUGUCAAGUCGGAUGUGAAAUCCCCGGGCUCAACCUG
rnacentral:rRNA from 1 species